CUCUGCUGCUGUGCAGAGCUGGGAGGGUAUAUAAAGACAGCACAGCUUUAGUCAUCGAUUGUCAUUCGGUUGGAGUGAAAGACUGAUUGACUGCAUUUGAAUUUUCAGGAUUUGCCCGGUUGGUGAAGGAAGAAAACGGAGAUGAAAAACCUCGUGCCCUCGAUUCUCAUCCUGUCUGCCGUGAUCUUGCUGGAGUUUCCACAGGUUAGAUUUCCUUUUCUAUGUUCAUUUCUGGAUUGGCCUCUUAGUCUUUCAUAAUUAAGCUGACUGAUAAUUUACGAAAGGAUACAGGCUGCCUACAGAAAUAUUUGACAUUAGAAAAUUAUUCAGUAACGUCAACCAAUCUGCUUCCUGCUUUAGCAGGCUGUAAUUAAGCAAUAUGGCACAACUGGGUGUGUGUUGAUGUGGGAUAUCAGCACAGCUCGGGUGCUUUCAACCACCCGAGAAGUGGCUAUAUCCCACAACAACACACACCCUGUCGUGCCAUAUUGCGAUUAUACAAUGGCUAUGAAUGAAUUUUGAAUGAAAAAAGACCAAAAGUAAGUUUUAAAAGAUAUUUAAUGAAAAUGUCUGUGAUAACCUGGAUGACCGUGGUGAUAUCGGGUUUGUGACUAGAUAUCUCCACGGGUCUGACGUCACAAACCCAUUGAAAUGAAUAGGAUGGCGGUCCUUGCCAAUGUAUUAAUAGACAGUAGAUGCCUGCUGGAACAUCUCAGCACCAACUGUGAAUUAAGUUUAAAAUCAAUCUGCACAAGUGCCGGCUGUUUCAUUUUGACAUGCCGUAUUGAAACCUCAGUUCAAGUCUAUUGGACAGCAAACACUAAACAAAGACACAAUUGGUCGAACUGGAAGUCAUGAAAAUGAAAAAUGUAAUAACUGUGGGGAGCAAGAAAGUGUAGAACAUAUACUCAUGGCAUGCAAUAAACUAGCCUCAUGGCACCAAAACUAGCCAAUCAAUACUUUGCACAGACGAAAGCAACCAAUCCUGUACCCGCAGCUGCCAAGCCAGCCAAUCACAGCCCUGUCAGCUGGGCUGGUGCACAGACAUCAAGCAAUUUUCAACAGCAGACACGGAAAGUUGAAUAAUAGUGCCCUCUCGAUGCUGGCUCUACUGUGUGAUAGCUGACCUUGACUUUCGUUAGCGCACUCGCCUUCGGCUCAUCGUGGUCAACUAUCACACGGUAGAGCCAUGAUUGAUGGGCAGUAUCGCUUAAUCAACCCCUCACCCCACAUAGUGACUGUACAGUAUAUUAAGAAUGUAAGCAUGCAUUUAUUCCUUUUAAAUUAUUUUAUACAUUUAUACAGAACUGGAAGUCAUGAGAAUGAAAAAUGUAAUAACUGUGGGGAGCAAGAAACUGUAGAACAUAUACUCAUGGCAUGCAAUACAUACAAUCAGUAAAGAAGCUUAUUAAAUAAGAAGGGACAUAGAAAUUAUAGCAGCAUCAGUAAAUUAUAUUUUAAAAGUAGAAAGAGAAAAACAAAUAGAGAAAGGAAACUAUUUAAGUUUAUAAAAAGUACAGGGAAAUGGGAGAAGAUAUAAUGGAAAAAAUAAAAAAUAUAUAUUUAUAAAGAUAGAGGGUGCUCAUCAUCUCUACUUAGAUGGCAUGCACCAACUACCACUAAAAAGAAGACUCCCAUCUCCUGCACGACUUUGAUUCAGUUAGUAGUCCUCUUGAUGCAAUGAAAAGAGCAUUAGGAACUUCUUCUGUUACGAACUACUUCUUUAAGAAGGCAAAAAAUGCUGAGAAAGACGACAGCAACAGAGCAUCGACUUGGACUGUGGACACAGACACAAACGAAGCACUUCCCAGGAUAGCAUACAGAGAACCGCAGAGCUGACUUCAAAAGAAGAUGAGUCUGCUUCUGAUCCAGAAUUACCUAUUCUAUUACCUAUUAGGCUAUGUGUUACUAGAAGUUCAGUAUACAAAUACAAUGGCAAUUCAUAUAAUAAUUCUUAUUUAAGAAAAUCAAUAUUUUAAUGGCGUUACGGACUGCACCACUGCUUAUCACAUUUCUCUAGAUUACAAUAUGUGUCAAUCACGUGCUAUGUAUGUUAUAAACAAAUUGUGUUUCUUCUAGUUAUGUCUUAUAUCGUUCUUUUUUUCAGAUACAAUGUUUUAAGGCUCUGAUAACGAUGGACCUCGCAGAAAAUUCCCUCGAUGAUCAAUAUGUCCGUUGCGAAAGAAAAAUGUUAAAAGAAUGUUAAGGAAAAAUAUCUUCCAUCAGAAUUACAAAACACCCCCAAUUUUAAAAACGUCUGGGAAACAGCAAAAAAGUCAAUGGUGAAGAAAAGAGGAUGUCGUUGAAUUUGAACAAGCCACGGCAAUCUAUGCUUAUACUAUGGACGUUUACAACACGUUCAAUGAAGAAGUUAGAAAAGGAGGAAAACAUUACGAAGCUUUUCCGUUCAAGUCGUUGCAUUUUUAUUUGACAGACGCCCUGAAAACUCUGAGGUCCAAGAAGGGUAAAUGUUAUGAUGUUUUUAGAGGGGUUCAAGGCCAGUUUACCGCUCUUGAAGGUACAACUGUACGAUUUGGUCAGUUUGCUUCUACCUCUCUAGACAAAAAUGUAGCAAAACAGUUUGGAAAUGGAACUUUGUUCAUAAUACACACCUGCCUCGGCGUGCCAAUUGAAGAAUAUUCAGAUAACCAAAGUGAAAAAGAGGUACUUAUUCCACCUUUUGAAAAAUUUAAAGUUCUGAAAGUCGAUGGAAAUCAAAUCCACCUGGCACGUAUUGCUAACAAGACGAGUAAUUUCAACUGCUUGGGAGUGCCGAAAAAAUGCUCCUGUCGUGAAGGAUUAUGUUGCAUUAGUUAACAAGUCUCCCUGAAGAUGCAAAACUCAACGCUGGGAAAAUGCUGGGUGUCUAAUCAAUUGUUCUAUAUUAUUUUUAGUAUAGACCAGUGUACCUUCCUUGAGAAUUAUAUUCUCUCACUCACAUUGUACAUUCGUUUGAGGCUGCUUUAAUUAGGUAUCUUAUACAACCUCUAAAAAGCCUCCUUCAUUUUACCAUUUGUGGCUGUGUGUUCUUUUUCUCUACCUAUUUGAAAUGAAUUGCAUGUGUGGAAUAUUAAAGUCAUCAAUAUAAUUAGACAGGCAAUGACUUGCCUGUUUUGACAAUUUUCCAGGGCUUUCAGUUCCAGUGGUUUGAUUUCAUAUGCACAACAAAUCAAAACUACAAA